AUAUAUUUAAAGACAAUUUCUUGGCUUUAAAUAGAAAGACUUAUGAAGUACACUCCAGGGUGCUUGAAACAGGCUUGAAACAAACUAUUUGUGCAGCUUACUGCAACUUACUACAAGUUCUGCAUGGGUGUCCAUUUCAUGCUCUGGUGAGGCAAAACAUGAAAUGGACAAAUGUCUUUUACAUGCUUUGUAAAAUAUCUCUUGGAAGAUGUUCACGUAGAGCACAGGCAGCACAAACAGUAUGUUUUAAUAUGAUGUAGUUUAUCUUAGUAAUAGUGGAGGAAGGUUUUUUGUGAGUGUUUAUUGUGGGCUAUUGUCUCUGCUUGCCUUUCUGAAAAAAUCAGCACUUAUAUAAAUCAAUCUGAAAUGAUUUGAAUAAUUAGUUCCUUUUGAUGUUGCUGAGCUGGCCGGUGCUUAGCCCCACUUUUUAUCUUAUUUUUUUGUUUUGUUUUAUUAAGAAUUUACAGGAUUUUUUUAUUCGACCUACCUUUAUGAUAGAUUUAUUUUGUUUGUCUACUCAGUAAUGGCCUCCUUUUUGUUCCAGUGAACAGUUGCUAAGUGAAGGUUCAAUACUUGGAUCAACUAGAGAGCUACUUAAUUGGGAACAGAAAAACAAACGACUGGCUGCGAAUCUGCUAAGAAAUGUCUAAAAAUGUCUGGAACUGUUAAACACACAAUCCAAUGCUUUUAUCAAUUUAUUAUAUAUAUUAGAAUAAUCACUGAUUCAAGUGGUUCAUAGUAACUUCAUACCCAGGCAAAAACAGGUGGUAUAGACUAAAAAUGAACUGUGUCAUAGCUGUAUGUUUUUUCCUUAUUUUUAUUUUUACAGAUACUUGUGUUCAUCGUUCUUUCAGUGUCUCUGUAUUUUUCUACCCAUCUGGUUGUCCAUCUGUCAUCCACCUAUAGUAUGUGUGAGCUAUGCAAAACUUAAUAUGUGAAUAAGGAUGUAUUUUUCACGCUACAUUUCUUAACAGUCAGUUUUUCAUACCUAUUCUGUAACUCUCUC
ensembl:lncRNA